AAUUGUUUCUGAAUACGAGUUAAGAGAUAAAGACGAUGAUUGUCUAACAAAACAUUGUAGAAAUUCUUCAAAAGGGGUUCAUUUCCAGUCAUCUGCGUCAAAGAACUAACCAAUAUUUUCUUAUCCUCACGAGUCAACCAAGGACUAGAAAUGUAUUGUUCAAAUUCCGGUCUCUGUUGAAGAACACCAGACAGUUUAUUUAAGGCCUUCUCAACAUUGUCCAACUUGGAUUCUUUUACUGCAGCGGUAUACAGAGAAGAAGCAUAAGAACCUAAAUAAGAGAAAAGAGUUAAUUACCA